AUAGUGCAUUACUAUAGAGGCCGGGAAACGAAGGGUUACAGGCCAAGUAGAUGGAUACGCGGCCGGCAACCACGUUUCUCGCCGAAAUUUGUAUAGUGCUUUUCUCAAACUUGCAAUGAAAUA